rnacentral:misc_RNA from 1 species
CUGAGGUAUGCUCGGUGCCGCGCAAGCGCUCCGGUUACCCGCCCAUAUGUCAUCUGUGCUGGGACCCCGUCCUUCUGGCCUUCGGGCUGGGGGGGAAAGGGGGAACAGGAAGAACAUUUCGGUCGAUGUGUUUUUGGUUGUGCGCCUGAGAAGGAGUAUGAUUUUAAACCGCGGCCGGCCGUAAUUUACACUCUUGUGAGAACAUGAAGUCUGAAGCAGAUUGAAAAAUUAUACA